ACUGGUGUCCAUAGUAAAGAGGCAAUACCCGUUCCCAUACCGAACACGGAAGUCAAGCUCUUUUACGCCGAUGAUACUGCGAAAGCGGGAAAGUAGGUAGAUGCCGGUU
rnacentral:rRNA from 1 species